rnacentral:rRNA from 1 species
UACGUAGGGUGCGAGCGUUGUCCGGAUUUAUUGGGCGUAAAGAGCUCGUAGGCGGCCAGUUGCGUCUGCUGUGAAAUCCCGGGGCUCAACCCCGGGCGUGCAGUGGAUACGGGCUGGCUAGAGGCAGGCAGGGGAGAACGGAAUUCCCGGUGUAGCGGUGAAAUGCGCAGAUAUCGGGAGGAACACCGGUGGCGAAGGCGGUUCUCUGGGCCUGUACUGACGCUGAGGAGCGAAAGCGUGGGGAGCGAACAGG